ACGUUGACCCUAUUUUGUUGGUUUCUAGGAUUGACGUAAUGAUUAAUAGGGAUAGUUGGGA
rnacentral:rRNA from 1 species